GGGGAAUAUUGGACAAUGGGGGGAACCCUGAUCCAGCCAUGCCGCGUGUGUGAAGAAGGCCUUAUGGUUGUAAAGCACUUUAAGCGAGGAGGAGGCUCCUAUAGAUAAUACCUAUAGAGAGUGGACGUUACUCGCAGAAUAAGCACCGGCUAACUCUGUGCCAGCAGCCGCGGUAAUACAGAGGGUGCGAGCGUUAAUCGGAUUUACUGGGCGUAAAGCGUACGUAGGCGGCUUUUUAAGUCGGAUGUGAAAUCCCCGAGCUUAACUUGGGAAUUGCAUUCGAUACUGGGAAGCUAGAGUAUGGGAGAGGAUGGUAGAAUUCCAGGUGUAGCGGUGAAAUGCGUAGAGAUCUGGAGGAAUACCGAUGGCGAAGGCAGCCAUCUGGCCUAAUACUGACGCUGAGGUACGAAAGCAUGGGGAGCAAAC
rnacentral:rRNA from 1 species